rnacentral:rRNA from 1 species
UACGUAGGGGGCAAGCGUUGUCCGGAUUUAUUGGGCGUAAAGAGCGUGUAGGCGGCCAGAUAGGUCCGUUGUGAAAACUGGAGGCUUAACCUCCAGCUGUCGAUGGAAACCAUCUGGCUAGAGUCCGGAAGAGGAGAGUGGAAUUCCUGGUGUAGCGGUGAAAUGCGCAGAUAUCAGGAAGAACACCAAUGGCGAAGGCAGCUCUCUGGGACGGUACUGACGCUGAGACGCGAAAGCCAGGGGAGCAAACGGG